rnacentral:rRNA from 1 species
CUUUACUGCAACUUGACAUUGGAUUCUGGCUGUACUUGUGUAGGAUAGGUGGGAGGCUUUGAUGUAGUGCCGCCAGGUAUUACGGAGCCAUCGUUGAAAUACCACCCUGGUGCUGACGGAAUUCUAACCUGGUCCAUGAUCUGGAUCAGAGACAGUGUCUGGUGGGCAGUUUGACUGGGGCGGUCGCCUCCUAAAGGUAACGGAGGCAUCCAAAGGUCCCCUCAGCGUGGUCGGUAAUCACGCGCAGAGUGCAAAGGCAUAAGGGGGCUUAACUGCGAGACCGACAGGUCGAGCAGAUGGGAAACCAGGGCUUAGUGAUCCCGCGGUUUAGCGUGGAAUUGCCGUUGCUCGAUGGAUAAAAGGUA